UUGCUUGACUGUUCAUUUUGUAGGGAGGUAUUGUACAUGCACUGGUUGUUUGGUGCUAAGAGCUGUUUCAUUUUGAUCCCACAGGAAGCGUAUCACCCAACUAGAGGAAGGGGAGGUAGGCACCCUGCACACACACUGUUCCAGGUAACCUGCCAGCAAUGGGUGACAUUCAUGGGGCGUCUUGGGUGCCCAUCUGUUCAGCAGUGCUCAGCUGAGAUCGCCUCAUAGUUCCUCUUGCCCUCAAUCCUGACAGAGAUUGUGAAUCUGGUCAGCUCACUAGCCAAUGACACCACAGUCAAGGUGUUUGAGAGAAAAAACUCCAACAGAGCAACAAAAAAAAAAAAACACACAACACACUUGAUCCAUAAUGUCUGGUCAAUUUUCCCCUAAAAACGAACCCCAUUUCCAUGGAAAACAAGCUACUUGCAGUUGGACUACAGUAUAAUCAGAAUUUGUGUUUGUGGGCUUUAAAGAUUUAAAUUGCACUCGGAUUUGUCUUCAGUGUGACAUUACUAUCAGAAAUCGGUGACCUGAAUUAUCAGGAGUAAACCUCUAUUUUUAGUAGUGAAUUUGUGCAUUCUCUACCUAGGCUUAAUCUUAUUCCUCCUUUUGUUCCUGGUAAUGGGGUCAGUUCUGAAGACAAGACUGUGAUGAUGAAGUGUGUGUUUUUAACUAAUAUAAAGAUCCUUUGUCUCAGUUGUCCCCAAGGAGAGACUUUUGUCCCCAUCUCUCUCAGCCAGCACUCCAGCACACCCCCUGCUACUGCAAGAUGGUUCAUUCUCAUUGGAUGGAACUUUCACCAAUGGCAUUCCAGUACUGGGCAAGAAGACAGCUGUGAUGAGGAAAGCACCCUACUGGUUAAUAUGUUCACAUGUAUAUCUUCCACUAGCUGGUUUGAGAGGAGCAGUGGUGGCGGGAUGCUAAAAGUGGGGUUUGUCCAAACCAAUCUGCUGCUGCUUUUUUUUUUUUUUACGAUUUAUAUCUGUGAAGCUCUUGAUGUAAAACAAGCAGACUCAUAGGGGUACAGAUUCUGUGUAAUUAUGCCCCCUUGAUUACAUUUAAAAUAAUAUAAAUAUAUUGAAAAUUAUUUUUAAAAAGAAACAGCUUACUGGGUGUAAAAUCUUUAAAAAUACUAUCUCCCCUAUAAUGGCUUUGGAGAUAUGACUGUCAGGUCUAAGCUGUCAUCCAUUGGUUCACUCUUGAAGUUUGCAUAAUUGCUAGUCCGUGGCAAAUAAAUAAGCAUUAAGUAGCUUAGUGAUUUUUCCUAACGUGAAGUAUUACACAUGUUGCUGCUUUCCCAGAAGAGAAGCUGUGUAAAUGAGAUGUCACAGAGAAGGAUUUCCCUUUUUAUAAAUGUAAAAAUAAAACACAGUCCCAUAGUAGGUAAACACUGUAAGGCUAUUCCACAGUAAUGCAUAACAUUGGUAGAAAUAAUCUCAUCUCCCAUGUGACACUGUUUUUUCUUAAUCUUGACAAUUGUCCAGCAGUCAUUGCAUGUGAUUUCCAGUAGAAUGGCCUUACACUGCUAUCACCAUUACUGAGUAGUGUUUCAGUAUACCAACAGUCCCUGUGCGGUCUAACGCAUACAAUAUAUACAUAGUGCUGCUCUUUAGAGUGUAGUAUAAUAUUACUAUGGUGUGUAAAUGUCUUGCCGAAAAGUGUGUCUACAGUAUGGUAACAUAGUUUAUCUGAGUAUCAAUACAAACUGUCUGCCUUGCUUCCAUGUGAACCUAGGUACUUGUAUAUUAAAUACUGUUUAUAGAAAUGAAUCACAUUUCCAUUACUUAUGUUAAUUUUCAUAUGCAGUCCCUAGUGUAUUUAUAUCUGUGUAACACCAGGUUCAUUUCUAAUGAUUUAAAGGAGGGGUAUUAAACAACCAGCAUAAUUGCCUUUUCUAUAGUAGUCUGACAGUCCUUGUCCUGGAUAAUCAGUUAUUUUAAUUCCCUGCUAAAUAGUAAAACCAGCCCUGCUUAAUUCAUUGUAAUAACUUAUGUUGCUUUGGAAACCAAAAAAAAAAAAAAAAAUCAGUAACCAUGGUAUUUAAUUCUCAAAAACAAUUCCACAGAGCAUUGCCUUUUUGUAACACACAAUUCAUGGACAAUAAGAGCUUUUGUGAAUAUGAAUGCAAAAUUUUACAUGAUGACUUCCUGGGCAAAAUUCACACUAAUUACAACUUAGCUAAUUACUUAUUACAAACCCCUAAAAUGGAAUGUCAGUAUUGUUUAUUUUGGGGUUCGGUAAACUUUAAUUUUCAUGCUAAGGUGGGGUGGUUGAAUAAAAAGGAAGUGUCACAGUUUUUAACCCUUUGCUGCCCAAUGCCCAAUAAAUAGACAUGAAUAGUAAUGGCAGUAAUGGGCUAACUUCUUCUCUCGCUCGCUCUCACAGCUGACUCUUUACAUGUACAACUGGUUUGUAGAUUGGAGUCGACUUUGAGUCGGGGACUUACUCGGCUGGUCCAGUGGCAGAACACCUGUUCGCAUGCCGUACACUUUCUCCUCAGCCAGAAUAUGGGUCUCUUUCACCACUACUGCUUCUUAGACACCCCUGGUCACAAGGAUCUCAAAUAGGUAGCCCUUUCAUGACUUCUUUAACACCACAUUUGAGAUCUUUAUCACCACAAUCGGCAGACAUCCUAUGAGCUGAGAGCUAGAAAUUGUAUAUGUCCUAUUUUGAAUUGUUCAUUUUGUUCAUUUGUCUGCCCUGAUUUAAAAACAAAAAAGCUCCCAGGGUAACAACCCCGUUUAGACUGUGCCACCCAGUCCUCAUGAGAGAUUCACUUUAAGAACGGGAGGGAGAGUCUGCAGGUCUCUUGUUGUUAGGGCAUCUGUGUGACAUAAACAGGGCCUCUCCUGCAGCAGAGUGACGGUGACAAGCAGCUGUCGCGUGCCGUGGGAUUCCAUUAAGGAUGGUUUCUGAGCUUUUCCAGCUAAACGCAGCAUAGACCUGUUAUAGCAAUAAAAUCUUUUUUUUUUUUUUUUUAAUGUUUAUAUAUGUAGACAAAAAGAAUAAUUGCUUAAGUGCCAUCAUUUCUGAAUACCUGAUUGUGAGCUAUUAACAAGCUAGUAAUAAUUUUCUUGAAAAGGAGUCCUGUCUGUAAUUCUUGCAAAGUACUACAAGAGAAAGCCAUGGUCCUUGUUGCCCCAGUGCCUUUUACUGGUAUCAAUAGUGCCACUUUGUAAGGCUGAUGGUCAAUACCGGCCAAAGUCUGAAAGGAAACUUGCCACAGUUAUCAGAAGCUGAAUCCAGAGUCAGAUUUGUUGGCAUGGUGCAAUGCAUUUCUUUAAGUGUGCAUACUGCGUUCUACAGGAGUCGUGCAAUAGCUUUCCAAGCAGCAGUAACAUAGACUAUAUGCAUAGGGCUGCGCUUUUUUGCUAGUGGCGCAUUCCUAUACUCAGUUGACGAUGCUAAAAAUAUCAGCAAAGCCACUGCAUGCAGUCCAAAGGGUCUGUCUCGCCCUAAAGAUAUUUCUUAAUGUGUUCAUCACAUUUCUGGGACAAGGGGAAACGCCAUCAAAGAGGGCUUCUAUGCAGUCACAGGUAAUUUACUAGGUUAUAUGUAAUUUAAUGAACAGGUAAUCCCAUCAUUAUCAUUUAUUAAGUAGGCUACAUUAUUAUGCAGAGUUCCACAUUGUCAUUGGUGCUGUGGACUGCAGUUAUCAAGGCACAUCCAGGACCAAAUGAAGUGGAUUUUGUGACAGGAAAUCCUUUCACAGCAUUAAUGUACAGGUACUUAUGACGUUAUCACUUACAUGAAAUUAAAAAUGAGCUACAACAUUUUAAUGACAGUUAUACAAUGCCAGUGCUAGUCAGUAGGUGUUAGACUUUGGAUAAUAUUGUACAUCAUCCAUGACUUGACCUCGUUUAUUCUAAGAUGAUCUGUGACAGAUCCUGCGACAUCAUUGUCGCAUGUGUGGUGCACCACAAAUUUAAAAAAAAAAACAACUUACACAUUUAGCUUA